CUUUCGAGAACACAUUUUACCGACUCAGCGCUAAGGGCAAGCUGCUGGCGAAAAUAGAUAACGAAUCAAUACCAAAUGACCAUAGUCCGCAAGCUCCACAGCAACAGCCCCUCGGUGAGUCGAUAAAGUAUCCCGAAAUUAGCCUCCCUAGCUUCGAUGGAGACCUAACACAGUGGCUGCAGUUCCGAGACACAUUUGAUGCCCUAGUCAAUCAAGCUAGCCUGGCACCUAUUGUAAAAUAUAAAUACCUACGCAGUUGUUUACGAGACGGCGCACUUGAGGUAAUUAGUUCGCUCGAUUUCUCCGAGGAAGGGUACACGCUCGCGUGGCAGAUGCUUUGUGAACGUUAUAAUAAUCCUAAACGUUUAGUUUCCAACCACAUGCGAGCCUUGUUCGAUGUGGAACCCGUACCGUCAACUCCUUCAGGUCUUAGAGGUCUGUGCGAUAAUAUUUCCAAACAUUUGAGAUCCUUGCGUUCAUUAAAUGUACCUACCGAAAAUUGGGAUCUCGCAAUUAUUCACUUACUAGUUAAAAAGUUAGACAGUCGACUGCAAUCAAAGUGGGAAAAUAGUGUUGAUUUGAGAAAAUUGCCUUCGUUGCAGGACUUCAAAACCUUCCUAAAGAACCGAGCUGACCGGCUGGAAGCGACCAGCCCAGCAGUACCAUCGGACGCACCCAGCACUUCCAAGAAGGCCAUGGUAACCACGUCCGAACCUAUUAAGCUGCAGAGGCCAUAGCGAACCAGUUCUACAUGGACGAUUUUAUCGCCGGCGGUGACGACGAGAAUCAGGUAGCCGAAACUGCAUCACAGGUGAACGAGAUCCUGCGAGGAGCCAACUUCACGCUGCGGAAAUGGAAGUCCAACUCCGAAGCCAUCAUAAAACGGGUGAGCGAAACACAUACACACCAAAACACAUCUACCACCGAAUUUGGAGAUAAAACACAUAACGUCCUGGGUUUAGCGUGGUCUAGUGACUCAGAUGAGCUUAUGUAUACCAUUAAAGAAAACCAAAUUUCACACCCAAUCACCAAAAGAAAGGUACUAGGGGUAAUUUCGUCCAUUUUUGACCCCCUAGGCCUGACAGGACCAGUCAUUGUAGUAGCCAAAAUAUUUAUCCAAAAAUUAUUUAAGGCUCAAUUAGAUUGGGAUACCGAAUUAACACAAGACUUGAUCCAAGAAUGGAACACAUUCUAUCGAGACUUGUUUUUAUUAAACCAAUUAAAAAUUUCGAGAUGUACAGUCAUACCUAAUUAUGUAACGAUACAAAUUCAUGGAUUUUGUGACAGCAGUAUUAAAGCCUAUGGCGCUGCCAUUUAUAUACGAUCGAGCGAUAGGGUAGGAAACGUCCAAGUUCACCUACUUUAUUCAAAAUCAAAAAUCACACCAAUUAAAUCCCAAACUGUUCCAAAUUUGGAACUUUGUUCCAGUUUACUUCUCGCAACACAUGUAGACAAAGUAAAACGAGCAUUAAAAUGUGACCUUUCCGGAAUCAACCUGUGGUCAGAUUCAAAAAUAACUUUGUGUUGGAUUAAAAAUAGUAACCUUAAAUUAACUUGUUUUGUUAGUAACAGAGUCACAAAAAUAUUAUCACUUACAAACAAGCAAGACUGGUCCUGGGUCCGCUCGGAGGAGAACCCCGCCGACCUUUUGUCCCGAGGGGUAGCACCAGGCAAGCUGGAAACCAACCAGUUAUGGUGGUCCGGCCCCGUGUGGUUAAGCCAGAGUUCUGACACAUGGCCAACCCACGAUUCUAAGUCACUGGAUCACAUACCCGAGGCCGAGAGCGACGUAGACAUAACACUCACUUUGGCUAUUAACACAGAAUCUAACGACACGAUACAAUAUCUUUUUCACAGGUGGUCUAGUGAUAAAACACUUAUUCAUGUAUUAGCAUACAUACUUCGAUUUAUAUAUAACACAAAAAAUAAAACACGAACAAUUAAUCCAAAUAAAAAACUAUCAGGACCAUUGUCCGUAGAAGAAUUAAAAAAAUCGGAUCACACAUUAAUCAGACAUUCACAAAUGGAAUCAUUUCCACACGAAUAUAAAUUGUUGCAAAAUAACAAACCGGUUCUUAACAAAUCCAAAAUAUUAUCUUUACACCCAUUCAUGAAGGACGGACUCAUUCGCGUAGGCGGACGAAUCGGUCUUUCGCAUUAUGCAUAUGAAAAAAAGCACCCUUUAAUACUAAGUCACGAACACACGUUUACCAAAAUACUGAUGGAAAACGCACACAUACGUACUCUGCACGCUGGCCCUCAGUUAUUACUAUCAACUAUUCGCGAGCGCAUCUGGCCAACUAAAGGUAGAAUGUUAGCUUCAAAAAUUGUAAAUAAAUGCGUUCCGUGUUUUAGAGCAAAUCCAAAGACUACUAACCCUAUAAUGGGAGACUUACCCCCCUCGAGGGUUAACCCAUCCCCCCCCCCCCCCUUUGCUAUCACGGGUAUCGAUUAUGGAGGACCUUAUAACAUUAGAGAUAGGACAGGACGUGGUUACAAGGUCUAUAAGUGCUAUAUUGCAGUAUUUAUUUGUUUUGCAACAAAGGCAAUUCAUCUCGAAUUAAUUACAGGGCUCGAGUCAGCCAACUUCCUGGCGGCACUGCGACGGUUCAUCGCCAGGAGAGGUAAACCGAAGGAGUUGGACUUCUGGCGGCGCUGGUCACGUGACUACAUCGGAACGCUGCAGGAGCGCACGAAGUGGAGGAGCGCGCGCGGCCCAAGCCUCGCAGUCGGCACCGUCGUCCUGGUGCGAGAAGAGCGCCUGCCACCCUGCCGGUGGAGGCUGGGCAAGAUCGUCGCGACGCAGCCGGGCCGGGAUGGCAUCACCAGGGUAGCCAUCAUCCGAACCGCCAGAGGAGACAUCCAACGCGCAUUCAAUAACAUUUGUCCUUUACCUACUUCGGGCCAAGUUGUAUAAGUAGUU